AUGUGGCUCAGUGGUAGAGCACUUGCCUAACACGUGUAAUGCCCUGGGUUCGAUUCUCAGCAU
rnacentral:tRNA from 1 species